rnacentral:lncRNA from 1 species
CCUUGGUCCAUGUCCAAGGCCUUUCCCUGUGCUGGGUGGUCUGGCACAACCCCAGUCAACAACUGGGGGUUGACCCUACCAUGAAGGGGGUUCAGCACAACCUUGGUCCAGGACUGGGGUGCAUGUCUGCAAGCAAAACUUCAAUCAGGUCGAGUGGAUGACUUGGCUCCUUCACCAAAGUGCAAUUUGGCCAGUCCAUCUUGGUGCCCUACUGGAGCUCUGGCACCUUGCCUGGACCAAACCCUGCACCUCCUGAAAUUCCUCCCUGCACUCCACACCUCCGGUGUCUCGUCUCACUACACUGAGAUGGACAGAGCCUCCAGCUCCACCAGGCAGCCAUCACACGGCCUUCCUCAGACGCGCUUCGCUCAUCUUCUCUCUAGCAGUUGGGACCAUGCUCCCACACAGUGUUUCCACACAGUGACUGAACUCGAACCCGAAAAGUGGUGACUUGGACUAGUAUCGACUUGUUGUCAAAGUCUCUCUCUUGCAUAAUUUAACAGCAAAUGUUCACUAGCUAUUACAUUACCAAGCUAGCCUUUAAUUGUAUCUUAAAUUAUUAGACCACAGCUUUAGCGCUACCAAGGGACAUGGGCUUGCGGUCUUGUGACUUGAUUACAUCACUACUCCCACGCCAUCCCCACAGCCAUUGCAUGGCUUUCUCAAUGUCAAGAUUGGACAGAGCCUAGGCCGAGAGUCCUGCAUGCACCUUUUCUCUAGCAGCAGGCCCAAGCUCUUAUUUCCACUUCACACCCACCUACGUCCAUGCAGAGCCAGGAUUAGGUCCCUUCUCUCACUUUCUUUCCUGCAGCCGGGACUCAUCUCCACCCCAUAGCCAUUGCCUUCCCCACACAGAGCCUUGACGCUGCACCCUCCGUUGCUGUUGACCUCCUACUCCUUCUAGAUCGGAGCUGCCACCACUGCAGCUCAUAACCUCCCCACAGCCAUCAUCAAGCACCUCGGCCGCUGGUCAUCCGAAACCCUCAUACCAAACUCCAUCAGCUACUAUCCCUUCGUCAGAUGGCGAGAAGGCGAACUCGUAAAACAGUGGAUGUGUCCAGUUUUCUGACCCAGCUUACAGUUUUAAAGUUUCCCAGAAAUGCUUAUCUAGUGCUGUAUGGAAGCUAAUUUACAUUCCUUACCUUCUAUGUACUGUUUGUUGCAACGUCAUUACUGGUUAGUAAGCAGCACCCUGCUUGGUAUGUCGAGAGAAAGAGCACGCUAGGAAAAAGUGUGUUUGGCUGUCCCCACCCCCGUCAUCAUGUUGCGCAGGUCGAUAAGCAUUCCCCCAUCUGUCUGGCAUGUGUUUGGAACAUAGCAAUCUUCCCCUCCCCUCCCUAGCAACAGCGGGUGGUAUGAGCAUGCCAGACGAUGCCCUGGGGCCUCAUUUAUGACUAUGGUUUAAAUUGAACACUAAAUAUCUGCGUGAGCUAUUUAUGAAUACUGCACACACAAAUAUUAAGGUUCAUAAAAUUGGCGAACGCGCAUGUUUCCUAAUAUAAAUCAGACCUGCCGUAGAACUGUACACGCGCAUUAUAAGGCUGGCUGAAAAACGGCCAUCCAUUCACUCACCUUUUUUAUGGCGACAAUGACGCCCUAUUUGCUGUAUAGUUUGGAUGUACAGUAUUGGAAUUAGGCCAAGACAGUAUCUAAAGGAAAAUCAAUGGCGAUCUUAAUCACAUGUCUUUGGAAGUGUUGGCAGUUUUUUCUUUUGCAGUGACAUUUGUUGUAUCUGACCAUUUCUGAAAGACAACAAUUUCAAAUUGUUAUGGACCUGUAAACAGAUCGUUUGAAAGCAAUAAUGGCAUUCACUUUUUCCCAAACCUAAAUAUGCUGCACUGCCCGCGAAUUCUGAAAUAUUGUGUACUUGGGGAAAAAAACUACAGUGUGUCUACAUAAGAGUGGUAGUGUACACACUUCAAUGCAAAAUAUCAACUGUUCAUCUGUUAAAUUCUACUGUAUGUUAUAAACCGCUCACUCUGUUGGAUGCAUAGAGCAAAAUUGUGAAAUUAUAAUAGCCUAACUAAUAGUCCC